UACGGAGGGUGCGAGCGUUAUCCGGAAUCACUGGGUUUAAAGGGUGCGUAGGCGGUGAGGUAAGUCAGUUGUGAAAUUCACCGGCUCAACCGGUCGGAGUGCGAUUGAUACUGCUUUACUUGAAUCAGGUUGAGGUGAGCGGAAUGUGGCAUGUAGCGGUGAAAUGCAUAGAUAUGCCAUAGAACACCGAUUGCGAAGGCAGCUUGCUGGGCCUUGAUUGACGCUGAGGCACGAAAGCGUGGGGAGCAAACAGG
rnacentral:rRNA from 1 species